GGCGUAAUAACCGCUUCUUCAUGUGCUCUUUCCUUCAUUCUCUCUAUAUAUUUAUGAUUCACUGUGCUGCUUCUCGCUCUCCCUUUCCCUGUUAUCUCUCAUCCAUCUUUCUGUGGUACCCUUUUUGUUUCCAUAGCCAGACAUGGGAAAUUGCUUCACAAGCAACCAAGUUAUUGUGUCUCGGGAUGAGAUUAAGCAUCAUCAUGAACAACAAAUAGAAGCUGGAAGAUCUUUCCCCACGCAGGGUAGGCAAGUUGAGAGCAGUGGGAAGAGGAAGAUGGUGAGGUUCAAAUUACGUGACGAAGAUAAGAAAGACAAUGGUGGUGGUUGUGGUGGGGGUGGAGGUAUGAGGAUUAGGGUUGUGGUGACUAAAGAAGAGUUGAAGCAAAUCUUGAGUCACAAGAAUAAGGAUUUCAAGUUCUCUUCUAUGGAGCAACUGGCAAGGGUAGUGAGGUUGAGAGAGAUGAGGAUUCAUGAAGCAGAAGGCAUCAAUGGUAGUUGGAAGCCAGCUUUGGAAAGCAUUCCUGAGGACCACUGAUGACUGUAAUUAAUUAUUUAGUAUUGUGAUAGCUAACAAUAAAAUUAAUUAAGGGUGUUGAUUAAUUGUGUAGGCUUAAUUAUCUUGUUUUUAUUUUCAGUUUGUAAUUGGCGAGUCUGCAUUUUAUAGUCUCAUGUACUUGCUUUGGGUAUCACUUGUCACAAUUGACA
rnacentral:misc_RNA from 1 species